AACGCGAAGAACCUUACCAGGUCUUGACAUCCUCUGAAACUCUAGAGAUAGAGCUUCUCCUUCGGGAGCAGAGUGACAGGUGGUGCAUGGUUGUCGUCAGCUCGUGUCGUGAGAUGUUGGGUUAAGUCCCGCAACGAGCGCAACCCUUGAUCUUAGUUGCCAUCAUUAAGUUGGGCACUCUAAGGUGACUGCCGGUGACAAACCGGAGGAAGGUGGGGAUGACGUCAAAUCAUCAUGCCCCUUAUGACCUGGGCUACACACGUGCUACAAUGGACGGUACAAAGAGCUGCAAGACCGCGAGGUGGAGCUAAUCUCAUAAAACCGUUCUCAGUUCGGAUUGUAGGCUGCAACUCGCCUACAUGAAGCUGGAAUCGCUAGUGAUCGCGGAUCAGCAUGCCCGCGGUGAAUACGUCCCCGGGGCCUUGUACACACCG
rnacentral:rRNA from 1 species